UCCAGUAUGGGAGGACACUUUCCACUGUGUUAAACAUAGAUCAAAUUAUUUAAAACGACUGAAUGAUAUUCACAGAAUUUGAAAGCUACAUGAAGGCGUUGGCGAGGGAAAUGAAGGGAGCAAUUAAAACAAGUGUUUCCACAUAGCAUAACCGCUCCAAAGCUGAUGCUGUUUUGAGGAGAACAGGCUAGCUCCCUAUCUGCUAAGCACACCUCUGCCUCUGCUAGCCACACAACCACUGCCUCCUGCUUGGCUCUCUCCAGGGGAUGACAGUAAACAGGCCCACAGUGUUUCCCAAACCCCCUUUCUCACCCCCAAGGACCUGAGCCCCUGCUCGGGCUGGCGUUCCGACUGCAGCUAUGGUCUUCUGGCCUGAUAUCACCAGGCGUGCUACCUUAUCCUGGACCCCUGCUUAGAGUCAUCACUGUCAGCCCUAGCUCAGCCAGGACCCUACUCAUGCUAUGUUGAACGAGCACCAUGGAAGGAGGGGGAGGAAAACAGACAGCUGCUCUCUACCACACAUUCACCAAGUCAUCCAAUGUUUGCAUCAUGAACAAUUUUAGCAUUUUCUAAAAUAAAUAUAUAAUACAUUUUGUUCA